GGAGGGUACAGCUCAGUGGCAGAGCGCACGCUUAGCACGCACGAGGUCCUGGGUUCAAUCCCCAGUCCCUCCU
rnacentral:tRNA from 1 species